GAUUGACCUCGGAUCAGGCAGGGAUACCCGCUGAACUUAAGCAUUAGUGGCG
rnacentral:rRNA from 1 species